rnacentral:rRNA from 1 species
AUGAACGCUAGCGGCAGGCUUAACACAUGCAAGUCGAGGGGCAGCAUGAGGGUUAGCAAUAACCUUUGAUGGCGACCGGCGCAAGGGUGCGUAACGCGUGAGCAACUUGCCCGUUUCUGGGGAAUAACCGGUGGAAACGCCGACUAAUACCCCAUAGCAUUGAUUUCAGGCAUCUGUUAUCAAUUAAAGAAUUUCGGAAACGGAUAGGCUCGCGUGACAUUAGCUAGAUGGCGGGGUAACGGCCCACCAUGGCUACGAUGUCUAGGGGUUCUGAGAGGAAGGUCCCCCACACUGGAACUGAGACACGGUCCAGACUCCUACGGGAGGCAGCAGUGAGGAAUAUUGGUCAAUGGUCUGACGACUGAACCAGCCAUGCCGCGUGAAGGUGACGGCCCUAUGGGUCUUAAACUUCUUUUGUAAGGGAGCAAUAAGGUCUACGUGUAGAUUGAUGAGAGUACCUUACGAAUAAGCAUCGGCUAACUCCGUG